rnacentral:rRNA from 1 species
AUGGAGCCGACCUUGAAAUACCACCCUUUAAUGUUUGAUGUUCUAACGUGGACCCGUGAUCCGGGUUGCGGACAGUGUCUGGUGGGUAGUUUGACUGGGGCGGUCUCCUCCUAAAGAGUAACGGAGGAGCACGAAGGUUGGCUAAUCUUGGUCGGACAUCAGGAGGUUAGUGCAAUGGCAUAAGCCAGCUUGACUGCGAGCGUGACGGCGCGAGCAGGUGCGAAAGCAGGUCAUAGUGAUCCGGUGGUUCUGAAUGGAAGGGCCAUCGCUCAACGGAUAAAAGGUACUCCGGGGAUAACAGGCUGAUACCGCCCAAGAGUUCAUAUCGACGGCGGUGUUUGGCACCUCGAUGUCGGCUCAUCACAUCCUGGGGCUGAAGUAGGUCCCAAGGGUAUGGCUGUUCGCCAUUUAAAGUGGUACGCGAGCUGGGUUUAGAACGUCGUGAGACAGUUCGGUCCCUAUCUGCCGUGGGCGCUGGAGAACUGAGGGGGGCUGCUCCUAGUACGAGAGGACCGGAGUGGACGCAUCACUGGUGUUCGGGUUGUCAUGCCAAUGGCACUGCCCGGUAGCUAAAUGCGGAAGAGAUAAGUGCUGAAAGCAUCUAAGCACGAAACUUGCCCCGAGAUGAGUUCUCCCUGACUCCUUGAGAGUCCUGAAGGAACGUUGAAGACGACGACGUUGAUAGGCCGGGUGUGUAAGCGCAGCGAUGCGUUGAGCUAACCGGUACUAAUGAACCGUGAGGCUUAACCUUACAACGCCGAAG